GCCGACCACCCUGCUAAAGCCGACCACCCUGCUAAAGCGAAGGUUAGACUGGGGAGAGCAGAGUGCCGACCACCCUACUAAAGCCAAGGUUAGACUGGGGAGAACAGAGUGCCGACCACCCUACUAAAGCCAACUACCCUGCUAAAGCCAAGGUUAGACUGGGGAGAACAGAGUGCCGGCCACCCUACUAAAGCAGAGGUUAGCAGAGUAAACAUUUGAGUAAAACGCCUUGAUUCAUUCAGCGUUUGUCACAGUCUUCCCUGCUACCACUUCAGUCCUGGUGGUCUGCCGCUGCUGUGGGAACUGUUCUGACAUUCUCAUAUGCUCGCUGACUCGAACUGACUGAUGAUUGUCGACUUUCUCUAGUUUCCAAAAACAUUUGGAAAUUAUUUUGCACGGUCGUUAGCUGUUAUUUU
ensembl:lncRNA